GUUUGAUCCUGGCUCAGAUUGAACGCUGGCGGCAUGCCUUACACAUGCAAGUCGAACGCGAAAGCGGGGCAACCCGCAAGUAGAGUGGCGAACGGGUGAGUAAUACAUCGGAACAUAUCCAGUAGCGGGGGAUAACCUGUCGAAAGAUAGGCUAAUACCGCAUACGAUCUACGGAUGAAAGCGGGGGACCGCAAGGCCUCGCACUAUUGGAGUGGCCGAUGUCGGAUUAGCUAGUUGGUGAGGUAAAGGCUUACCAAGGCGACGAUCCGUAGCUGGUCUGAGAGGACGAUCAGCCACACUGGAACUGAGACACGGUCCAGACUCCUACGGGAGGCAGCAGUGGGGAAUUUUGGACAAUGGGCGCAAGCCUGAUCCAGCCAUGCCGCGUGAGUGAAGAAGGCCUUCGGGUUGUAAAGCUCUUUCGGUGAAGACGAAACGGUUCGUGCCAAUAACACGGACUAAUGACGGUACUCACAGAAGAAGCACCGGCUAACUACGUGCCAGCAGCCGCGGUAAUACGUAGGGUGCAGGCGUUAAUCGGAAUUACUGGGCGUAAAGCGUGCGCAGGCGGUUUGCUAAGACAGGUGUGAAAUCCCCGAGCUUAACUUGGGAAUUGCGCUCGUAACUGGCAGGCUAGAGUGUGGCAGAGGGGGGUGGAAUUCCACGUGUAGCAGUGAAAUGCGUAGAUAUGUGGAGGAACACCGAUGGCGAAGGCAGCCCCCUGGGUCAACACUGACGCUCAUGCACGAAAGCGUGGGGAGCAAACAGGAUUAGAUACCCUGGUAGUCCACGCCCUAAACUAUGUCAACUAGUUGUCGGGGAAGAAAUUCCUUGGUAACGAAGCUAACGCGUGAAGUUGACCGCCUGGGGAGUACGGCCGCAAGGUUAAAACUCAAAGGAAUUGACGG
rnacentral:rRNA from 1 species